rnacentral:rRNA from 1 species
UUGCUGGGGGAUUAGUGGCGAACGGGUGAGUAACACGUGAGUAACCUGCCCUUGACUCUGGGAUAAGCCUGGGAAACUGGGUCUAAUACCGGAUAUGACUGUCUGACGCAUGUCAGGUGGUGGAAAGCUUUUGUGGUUUUGGAUGGACUCGCGGCCUAUCAGCUUGUUGGUGGGGUAAUGGCCUACCAAGGCGACGACGGGUAGCCGGCCUGAGAGGGUGACCGGCCACACUGGGACUGAGACACGGCCCAGACUCCUACGGGAGGCAGCAGUGGGGAAUAUUGCACAAUGGGCGCAAGCCUGAUGCAGCGACGCCGCGUGAGGGAUGACGGCCUUCGGGUUGUAAACCUCUUUCAGUAGGGAAGAAGCGAAAGUGACGGUACCUGCAGAAGAAGCGCCGGCUAACUACGUGCCAGCAGCCGCGGUAAUACGUAGGGCGCAAGCGUUAUCCGGAAUUAUUGGGCGUAAAGAGCUCGUAGGCGGUUUGUCGCGUCUGCUGUGAAAGACCGGGGCUCAACUCCGGUUCUGCAGUGGGUACGGGCAGACUAGAGUGCAGUAGGGGAGACUGGAAUUCCUGGUGUAGCGGUGAAAUGCGCAGAUAUCAGGAGGAACACCGAUGGCGAAGGCAGGUCUCUGGGCUGUAACUGACGCUGAGGAGCGAAAGCAUGGGGAGCGAACAGGAUUAGAUACCCUGGUAGUCCAUGCCGUAAACGUUGGGCACUAGGUGUGGGGGACAUUCCACGUUUUCCGCGCCGUAGCUAACGCAUUAAGUGCCCCGCCUGGGGGAGUACGGCCGCAAGGCUAAAACUCAAAGGAAUUGACGGGGGCCCGCACAAGCGGCGGAGCAUGCGGAUUAAUUCGAUGCAACGCGAAGAACCUUACCAAGGCUUGACAUGAACCGGUAAUACCUGGAAACAGGUGCCCCGCUUGCGGUCGGUUUACAGGUGGUGCAUGGUUGUCGUCAGCUCGUGUCGUGAGAUGUUGGGUUAAGUCCCGCAACGAGCGCAACCCUCGUUCUAUGUUGCCAGCGCGUUAUGGCGGGGACUCAUAGGAGACUGCCGGGGUCAACUCGGAGGAAGGUGGGGACGACGUCAAAUCAUCAUGCCCCUUAUGUCUUGGGCUUCACGCAUGCUACAAUGGCCGGUACAAAGGGUUGCGAUACUGUGAGGUGGAGCUAAUCCCAAAAAGCCGGUCUCAGUUCGGAUUGGGGUCUGCAACUCGACCCCAUGAAGUCGGAGUCGCUAGUAAUCGCAGAUCAGCAACGCUGCGGUGAAUACGUUCCCGGGCCUUGUACACACCGCCCGUCAAGUCACGAAAGUUGGUAACACCCGAAGCCGG